UCUAGGGUCACCUCCCACCCGUGUUUAUUUUACCUUGUUGCUUCGGCGGGCCCGCCUUAACUGGCCGCCGGGGGGCUCACGCCCCCGGGCCCGCGCCCGCCGAAGACACCCUCGAACUCUGUCUGAAGAUUGAAGUCUGAGUGAAAAUAUAAAUUAUUUAAAACUUUCAACAACGGAUCUCUUGGUUCCGGCAUCGAUGAAGAACGCAGCGAAAUGCGAUACGUAAUGUGAAUUGCAAAUUCAGUGAAUCAUCGAGUCUUUGAACGCACAUUGCGCCCCCUGGUAUUCCGGGGGGCAUGCCUGUCCGAGCGUCAUUGCUGCCCUCAAGCCCGGCUUGUGUGUUGGGCCCCGUCCUCCGAUCUCCGGGGGACGGGCCCGAAAGGCAGCGGCGGCACCGCGUCCGGUCCUCGAGCGUAUGGGGCUUUGUCACCCGCUCUGUAGGCCCGGCCGGCGCUUGCCGAUCAACCCAAAUUUUUAUCCAGGUUGACCUCGGAUCAGGUAGGGAUACCCGCUGAACUUAAGCAUAUCAAUAAGCGGGGGGAAAA
rnacentral:rRNA from 1 species